GACGAACGCUGGCGGCGUGCUUAACACAUGCAAGUCGAACGGAAAGGCCCUUCGGGGUACUCGAGUGGCGAACGGGUGAGUAACACGUGGGUGAUCUGCCCUGCACUUUGGGAUAAGCCUGGGAAACUGGGUCUAAUACCGAAUAGGACCACGCGCUUCAUGGUGUGUGGUGGAAAGCUUUUGCGGUGUGGGGUGGGCCCGCGGCCUAUCAGCUUGUUGGUGGGGUAAUGGCCUACCAAGGCGACGACGGGUAGCCGGCCUGAGAGGGUGACCGGCCACACUGGGACUGAGAUACGGCCCAGACUCCUACGGGAGGCAGCAGUGGGGAAUAUUGCACAAUGGGCGCAAGCCUGAUGCAGCGACGCCGCGUGAGGGAUGACGGCCUUCGGGUUGUAAACCUCUUUCACCAGGGACGAAGCGUAAGUGACGGUACCUGGAGAAGAAGCACCGGCCAACUACGUG
rnacentral:rRNA from 1 species